AAACUUUCAAGUAUAUUUACUUUAAGGUAUAAUAAUAAUGUUGCUUUGCAACUAAGAUAAUAAAUGCUUUGUGCAAUAAGUUAUUCGGACCCGGGGGCGGUACCCGGCGUCUCCACCAAAAUAUGGGGACGAAAUAGGUUUGACGGUAAUUCAAAGACAAAGACUUUAUCCGGUAUUGUACCACCGUUAUCGGGCUAUUUUAUAAACGCUAACGAUAAUAGAUUAGCACUUGCUGCCUAGAUUCUAGGUGAGCGCGGUCAGGGGCACCGGGCAACAGAACGCCCCAUA
rnacentral:tmRNA from 1 species